GGUGCUCCACUUCAGAUGAAUUCAGAGCAGUAGCUGUGCAUAUGGAGGUGGGAUUGGAGUUACUGCUUUCUUGCUGUGGAUAGUACAGCAGAGGCUACUGCAGAGUCUCGAGCAAUUGCAUCGAUAGUGUAAUGCUUAGCAAAUGUCACGUCUGAUGACCAUUUGGCCGUACGACGAAUGUCCUGCAUCAGAACGCCCUAAGGAACGCGAGCGAUGAUGCUGUUGCUCUAGUCGAGUGGGCUGCGAGUGAGCUUGGAGUAGGCUUGUUUCUUUAAUUAUAGCACUUUGUAAUGCAGUUCACAAUUAAUUUGGAAAUGCAUUGUGACGACAGUGAUUGUCCCUUUGUUCUUUCGUCGGAACACAAAAGGAGGCAUUGCGUCUGAUGGAAAGGACGAGUCCUUUCUAAGUAAAAAGCCAACACCCUGCGGACAUCGAGUGCGUGCAAGUGGGCCUCGUGGGACAAUGGGUGUGGCUUGGGGCAGAAUAUGGGGAGUAUGAUCAGCUCAUUAAUGUGGAACUCAGUAAAAAUGAUGGGUGAGGCCGAAGGAUUACUCCCGUGUUUGUAAAUAGUGUGUAUGGAGGGUUGGCAGAGAGUGUUGCCAGCUCUCCUACCCUUUGGGCCGAAGUUAUGGCCAAGAGAAAGGCCAGUUUCAUGGUAAGUAAUUUUAUGUCACAGGUAGCUGAGGGUAUGAAGGGUGAGUAAGUAAGCAUACUGAGUACAAGUUCCAAGUCCCAAAGUGCAGUAAGUGUCCUGUGUGGAGGAUGUAGAUUUUCCAGUCCUUUCAGGAAGCGUUUUACAAGUGGGUGAGACAUUACUGAUAAUCCUUCUGUGGUUUUCUAAGCGCAGAGAUUGCUAAGAGGUGCACUUUAAUCAAGGAGACUGCCAGCCCCGUGUGAUGUAGGUGCAGUGAGUAAUCCAAGAUGCGGUGGAUCGGAAUGGACUCUGCGUCACAAUGACUGUCUACAUACCAAGCAUGGAAUCGACGCCAUUUGUAAAGGAGAGAAAGUUCGCUCCGCCUGCCACCUGUGGACGGUUAGGAGGAACUGGCGGGAGCCAGAUCCCGUGCAUGCUCAGAAGCACGUGAACAACCCAUACCCCGUGCAUGCGUGGGCUGGCCGAACCAUGGCUAACAACUUUCCAACCUGCGGUGCCGGGAUGUGGCCCAACACCUGAAGCGGAGCACCUACGGGAACACUACCCGAAGAAGAAUGUCAGUUACUAUUGAGAUACGCUGUGACAAUUGCCAGAACCUUUGAAAAGAUCCUCAGGGCCGCAGAGAGUCCAAAUGGAAGCACCUUGUAUUGGUAGUGUUGAGAAUCUACAACGAAACAAAGAAAACUUCUGUGAGCAAGGUGGAUGGUAAUGUGAAAAGUUGAGGGAUGAGAACCAAUCAUCCUGUUCCAAUGCUGAUAAUAUGGUAGCAAGCAUUACCAUCUUGAAUGUUUGUUUCUGAAUGAAUUUAUUGAGGGCUCAAAGGUCUAAGAUGGAAGGCCUCCAACCACACGACCUUUUUUUAAUCAAGAAGUAAUGGGAGUAGAAUCCCUUGCCCCUAAAUUGUGGGGGGAUGGGUUCAAUCAACCCUAUGUGUAAGACAUGCUCUAAUUCUUGUAGAAGAAGGAUCUUCUUU